GAGCCAUGCCAGUGUUCUAGCUGGCUCAGUGUUCAGGGAGAGACACGUCCUUGCUGUUGAGUCUCUGUAGCAGUUCAAGGUCAGGCUCCAGAGACGUAAAAGCUAGGUUAGGAUACACCAGGCAGAGAGACAGAUAGGCUAGGUUAGGAUACACCAGGCAGAGAGACAGAUAGGCUAGGUUAGGAUACACCAGUCAGAGAGACAGAUAGGCUAGGUUAGGAUACACCAGGCAGAGAGACAGAUAGGCUAGGUUAGGAUACACCAGGCAGAGAGACCGAUAGGCUAGGUUAGGAUACACCAGGCAGAGAGACAGAUAAGAUAGGUUAGGAUACACCAGGCAGAGAGACAGAUAGGCUAGGUUAGGAUACACCAGGCAGAGAGACAGAUAGGCUAGGUUAGGAUACACCAGGCACAGAGACAGAUAGGCUAGAUUAGGAUACACCAGGCAGAGAGACCGAUAGGCUAGGUUAGGAUACACCAGGCACAGAGACAGAUAGGCUAGGUUAGGAUACACCAGGCAGAGAGACCGAUAGGCUAGGUUAGGAUACACCAGGCAGAGAGACAGAUAGGCUAGGUUAGGAUACACCAGGCAGAGAGACAGAUAGGCUAGGUUAGGAUACACCAGGCACAGAGACAGAUAGGCUAGAUUAGGAUACACCAGGCAGAGAGACCGAUAGGCUAGGUUAGGAUACACCAGGCACAGAGACAGAUAGGCUAGGUUAGGAUACACCAGGCAGAGAGACCGAUAGGCUAGGUUAGGAUACACCAGGCAGAGAGACAGAUAGGCUAGGUUAGGAUACACCAGGCAGAGAGACCGAUAGGCUAGGUUAGGAUACACCAGGCAGAGAGACAGAUAGGCUAGGUUAGGAUACACCAGGCAGAGAGACCGAUAGGCUAGGUUAGGAUACACCAGGCAGAGAGACAGAUAGGCUAGGUUAGGAUACACCAGGCAGAGAGACAGAUAGGCUAGGUUAGGAUACACCAGGCACAGAGACAGAUAGGCUAGGUUAGGAUACACCAGGCAGAGAGACAGAUAGGAUAGGUUAGGCUACACCAGGCAGAGAGACAGAUAGGCUAGGUUAGGAUACACCAGGCAGAGAGACAGAUAGGCUAGGUUAGGAUACACCAGGCAGAGAGAGAGAUAGGCUAGGUUAGGCUACACCAGGCAGAGAGACAGAUAGGCUAGGUUAGGAUACACCAGGCAGAGAGACAGAUAGGCUAGGUUAGGAUACACCAGGCAGAGAGAGAGAUAGGCAAGAUUAGGCUACACCAGGCAGAGAGACAGAUAGGCUAGAUUAGGCUACACCAGGCAGAGAGACAGACAGGCUAGGUUAGGAUACACCAGGCAAAGAGACAUAUAGGCUAGAUUAGGAUACACCAGGCAGAGAGACAGAUAGGCUAGGUUAGGCUACACCAGGCAGAGAGACAGAUAGGCUAGGUUAGGCUACACCAGGCAGAGAGACAGAUAGGCUAGGUUAGGAUACACCAGGCAGAGAGACAGAUAGGCUAGAUUAGGCUACACCAGGCAGAGAGACAGAUAGGCUAGGUUAGGCUACACCAGGCAGAGAAACAUAUAGGCUAGAUUAGGAUACACCAGGCAGAGAGGAUGUUUAGGUUCCCGUACUGCCCUCCCAAACC